AACGAACGCUGGCGGCAUGCCUAACACAUGCAAGUCGAACGAGACCUUCUGGUCUUGUUGCGCACGGGUUCGUAACGCGUUGGAACCUUCCCUUAUGUUCGGAAUAACUCCCCGAAAGGUGUGCUAAUACCGGUUAAUGUCUUCGGACCAAAGAUUUAUCGCCUUUGGAUGGGCCGGCGUUGGUUUAGCUAGUUGGUAGGGUAAAAGCCUACCAAGGCGAGGAUCCAUAGCUGGUAUGAGAGGAUGAUCAGCCACACUGGGAGGGAGACACGGCCCAGACUACUACGGGAGGGAGCAGUGGGGAAUAUAGGAAAAUGGGCGAAAGCAUGAAGAAGCAAGGACGGGAGAGUGAUGAAGGGGUUAGGGAAGUAAAGCAGUUUUAAACGGGAAGAUAAUGACAGUACCGGGAGAAUAAGCACCGGCUAACUCCGUG
rnacentral:rRNA from 1 species